GUCGAUGUUGACGGCUACGGUUACGUUAAUUUCAAAGAACUCAAGAAAAAGUUGGGUAGGCCUUCGUCAAGAAAAAGUAACUUCUAGAUAGUUGUCAGGUGAAUUUGUAUAUUCACAAUCACACUUCAUCGUCUUUCCUUAUUAUAUGGUUCUAUCUUAUUGAGAAUUAGUAAAUUUUUGUUGCAUCUGCAAAUAGUGGGUACCUUUGGUCAAAUUUGAUGGGAAAGAUACAACAAAAAUCAAUUCUCAAAAUCACUGUCGAAAAAAAAAAGGAAUGCUUUUUAU
rnacentral:lncRNA from 1 species